rnacentral:lncRNA from 1 species
UAAUACUUGUUAAAUGAUAGUAUAAUGUAAAUUACAUCCAUUAUUUAAAAAUAACCAUUUGUUGUUUUUAUUUAAAUCAGAAAUUAUUUUUAUUUAAAAACAUUAUCCAUAUAUAAUAUAAUAGUUUAAGUUUGGAAGAUUAAUCUAUAUAUAUAAAUUAUGUGUAUGUUUUAAAAAAUAAUUUAAGAUGUUAAACAUACCAUUUUUUUGCUCGAGUGCUUUGAAGCUUUCCUUGAUAGUGUGAGGUUGAUGUUGAUGGUAUAAUGGGUUUUAUAGAGACUUUCUUGAUGUAAAACUAUACUUUUUUUUUUAAUGUGAUAUUUCCAUUUUUAUAUAAUUUAUUACCAUUGUACAUUUUAAGAUAGAUGUUUAAAUCUUAAUAUACUUUUUUCAUUUUUUAAAAUGUUUAUUUCCAUUUCUUAUUUUUUUACGUAAUAUCUAUAUUUUAUAUUUUAAAAUAGAUAUUUAAAUCUUAAUGUACUUUUUCCAUUUUUUUAAAUUGUGUAUUUCCUUAUAUUAUAUAUUUACAUUUUAAGAUAGAUGAUUAAUGCUUAAUGAACUUUUUCCAUUUUUUAAAUUUUGUUGUGUAUUUACUUAUUAUUAUAUAUAUAAUUCAUAUAUUAUAUAUUUACAUUAUUUACUUAUUAUUUAUUUUCCUGUAUAUGUAUUUCUAUUUCUUGUACUUUUUAUUUACUUAAUAUCUCUAUUUUACAUUUUAAUAUAGAUGUUUAAAUCUUAAUGUA